GCCCUAGGUAGAUAUACGGCCGCUGACUUUGUGCAGAAAAUAGUGGAGGGUCCAGUCAUCCCUCAUCCAUUUCCCCUGUCUCCGUUCUCGCCAUCGACAAAAGAUAGUACGAAUUUUUCCACCUGACUUCAAUCUCCCCUCACCACCGCGCCGCCUCGCCUAGAGCCAUCUCCACCGUGCCGCCGACGCGCAAGAUGGGGGAUUUUUUCACUGACAUCCAUCUCCCCCAGGCGCGGUGACUGCUCCGCCGUGCUGCCUUGCUACAGCACCACCACUCAUCUCCACCACGCCGCCGUGACGCCUGGCCUAGAGUCAUCUCCACGGUGCAGUCGACGCGCAGGCCAUGGACGCUGGGAGAACUCGAUCGCGAACGAUUCCCCGGUGUUUGGAAGAGGGCGGCUCGGCCUCCCCUGUACCCGAGUACAUCUGCUCGAUGAUACCUCCUCACGAUGAUGUCUUCCCGCGAUGAGUAGAUCUUGCCAGACCGGUGCCAGCCUCCCAAGAUCCGGACCAGAGAUACACCAUGGGAUUUAGGAUGCAAUGAUGACGACAAAAGGGAGUGUCGGCUUCUGGGAGCCGGGGAUGGGCGGAUAUCAUGUGGAUGCUGAGCUUGAAUACGGUAACGUCGACCAAGAAGAUAGUGUGUCUAGCUACUGAAGAGAGCCUCGAUCAACAAAUACCUGGCCAUGUCGACGAGGAGGAGCAUGUAGCAUGAGCAUGGGCGCCAGCGGCGUCAAGCUUGCAGCCGGGUUGGUUCCGCUCGAGGACGUCGACUCUUCAGAUAAUGGGCACCAAAGCAUCGACAAGGGCGACGACGCGGUGCUCAGCGAUGCGUCUGAAACAGCAUGCAACGACGGGUUGGCACUCGGCUCAUUUGGUUCUGCUUUGGCCGUCACACAACAGUUUCUCGUCAGUUAGCAGUUAGGCGUGAGUUACCGUUCUGAUGGUCAGUUAGCAAUGCAGACCAGGUUUUAGAUCGGGUGUUCUUCUAAUUUUACUCUGGAAUUGUCAAAGUAGUUUCACCGCAGUGUUCAGGAUGCGCUGCCGCGUGGCGGCUUCAACCCCAACAACCUCUACUCCCCGGUGUACGAGCAGCGCGAGCCAGGACCCGGUGCGGAUGGCAACCCUUUCACUGGCCGCAGGGGGCCGCUCGAAUUCGACGGCGCCGGUGCUGAGGGUGCUGAGGAAGAGGGCGGGGGUGAGGACGAGGAGGACGAUGAAGAGGAGGGGGUGGAGGACGAGGACGAGGACGAGGACGAAGAGGGCGGCGAGGAAGAAGACGAGGAGGGUGCCGGUGAAGAUGAUCUCGUGGAGGUCGACGCGGACGGCGUGAAGAAGAAAAAGAAGAAGAAGGCGUCGGGCACACGAGGCCCCAAGUGGACGGCUUUGGAGGAUCUUUGUCUGUGCGAGUCGUGGGCGACGGUGAGCCAUGACUCCAUCAUCAGCGCUAACCAAAAACAUGGGAAGUAUUGGGCGAGAAUCAAGGCCGAGUUUGAUGAGCGCAAGCUCAUCAAGAGCGACUACAACAAAGUGACAAUGAAGAGGAGCCAAAAGGCAAUGUCGACGCGAUGGGCCAUCAUCCAGGCGUCGGUGAGCUCCUUCCAUGGAUACCAUCAGGAAUUACUGAGCAGAGCCGAGAGCGGCGCCGACCUCUCCCAAAUGGUACGACUCUUUCUUCCAUAAUCUGUAGCGCCUACAUUGUGUUCGAUAAAAUGAUUCCGCUUCCUUUGGCUAGUUUGAUAGGGCCAUGGAGGUUUACGCGAGGAACUUGUUGUGAAGUGUACAAAGUAGAUUGCCUAGCCCUUUCAUCAGUUCGGACUUUUGGUUCAAGUGGCUAGUGCAUGAAGCUUAACAUGGUAUCAGAGCCCCAGGUCUCAAGUUCAAAUCCUGGCUUUCACAAUUUAUUCUAAAAAUUAUCUCUUCUCCCCCCUCUUCUCGCAGCCGCCGCCCGCCCCGGCACCGCGCCGUCCCGCGCCCGGCCGCCGCCGCUGCCUCUUUGCCUCUCUACACGUGUUGACUCUCUUCUCCCGUCACACGCGAGUGGGGGUGUUGUGAAGUGUACAAGUAGAUUGCCUAGCCCUUUCCAUCAGUUCGAACUUUUGGUUCAAGUGGCUAGUGCAUGAAGCUUAACAGAACUCAGAUGGGCAUAAGUCGUUCGAGCUGAUGCAUUGCUAUACCAAGCUCAAAGGGAAUGAGAAAUGGCGAUUGACGCGCCUAUCGCUGUCCAAGGGGAAGGACACCAUUGAUCUGGACGCGCCGUCGGCAACGUCGGCAGGGCGUCCUACUGGCAACAAGGCUGCCAAGGCCGCCUUGGCCGACGCCGCGUCGUGUGAGAAGACGCAGGCGUCGAUCACGAAAUGCCUCGCGGACGUCUCCUCGACCUUUCUCUCCCGCGCCAAAAAGAACGACGAAAGGUGGGCGGAGCUGCUCAAGAGGCAAGAGGAGAAGUUAGAGCUCAAGAAACGCAGGGACGACAUGUACCUGCUGAGAGCGUCGAUAGAGGGAAUGUCUCCCCGGACGCGGGCGGCGCACAACUUCUUCAAAGGCCAGAUCCUCGACGACAUCGAAGCCAAAAUGGCGACGGCCGACGCGGCGGUCCAGGAAGCGGCAGCGGCAGCAACUGCGGCGGAAGAGCCGGCUGCGGCGUCUUCGACUGCUACACCAUCGUCGGCCUACGCGACGGCGGCGGAGCAGACGGAGCAUGCACAUCACCAGGCAGAUCGCGGCGAGGUCAUCGUGAUCGACGGGCCUGCGUCGACUCAGGAUACGUCGCCGUCGACCAACCCCUUCUUCUAAUUUAGCAUGCACUAUAUGGUCUGUAAUAUGAUCGCGCGCCUAGUACUUUGAUCGCCGCUACUCUGAUCGCGACGAUUCGGCGGGAACGAUCUCUUUUGAAUGCAA